rnacentral:lncRNA from 1 species
GGAAUCCACACUGUAAUUCCAUCUGCUUAAUAGUUGUAUCCUGCCCUUUCCAAAUAUAGUUUGUUUCCCACCAAACGCUGUGGUUCUGUUAGAAAACACGCUUUUUUUGUAUCGAUAAAAAGUACUUUUUUUCUCGGAUUCGAGCAUUAAAACCACAUGUUUAAAGUGUCUCUGAGACGGAGACUAAUUACUGAUGACAGUAGAGGUUGGGUCACUCAUUCCUCAUGCUGAACUGGGCACGGCUAUGACUUUGUUGGACCCAAACAACAGUACAGUUCACAGAUUGAAAUGGCAGUGAUGGCACAAGAUGUCCCUGGAGGCAGAUAAAAACAGUUUUGUGGUUUCCAAGGAGAGAAGUACAUCCUGUGGCUUUCAGGGUGCUGAAGAGAAAGAGGAGAUCCCAGGGAUGGGAGAGGACAGUGUUCUGGAAAUGCUGAGCUACUCCAAAUUUACAGACCUGGAGACAUGGCUGUGUAUGCCUUCUACACUGCUGCCGAGAAGUUUGGAAUCAUUAUGUGCCACCUCUCAGUCCCUGACACCUAGUGAAACUGCAGACGCUGAGAAGAAACCCAGACCGCCGGAGGGGGACACCCCGUUCUUGUCACCACCCACAAUGGCACCUCAGUCAUCAAGGUCACCGUCACCCAUUCCUAUGGGGUCCCCAGUGCCCUCUUCGUUGGAUUCUUCAGGGAGCUCUGUCCAGGGAGGGGUUAGCGUCAGGAAGCGCCGGCGUCUGGCUGCGAGUCCUGGGGGACUGCGCUGGAAUUCUUCAGGGUUGUUGCAGCGGGACUAUGACACAGCUGAAACCCUGCCUGCUCCAGGGGCCAAGCGCAGCCCUGGCAGUGACACCAGCCUCCACACUGGCCUCUUGGGAGACUUGCAAAGAGCUACCCUGACGAAGAGUGUUUCUGUAGAUGACCGCCUGUUUCAGAAACAACACAAAGAGUCGCACAAACUACUUACACGCUUGGAAAGGGGCAAGAACAAGCUGCGAAAUAUCCAUGCAUACUUCUUCCAGUGUCUUACUCCUGCCUUCUUCAGUUUCCUGUCAUGAAGCCAUUGAAGAAACCUUUGCUGGCUAACCAACGGGAGUGUUUCCUGCAGUUUUAGGAAUGUUACACCUUGAAACAAAUAAGCAUACUUCUCACAUAAUGAGAUUCGACUUUGGAAAUGAAAGAAAUGAAAGUUAUUACAACAUUUCUGUUAAUUUUUGGAUAUUUUCAAUAAAUGGAUUUUACCAGUCUUCUUAGGCCA